AUUGAACGCUGGCGGCAUGCCUAAUACAUGCAAGUCGAACGAAUGGCGGACUGGUGAGUAAUGUCUGGGCACCUGCCCGAUGUAGGGGGAUAACUACUGGAAACGGUAGCUACUACCGCAUACCAUCGGAUGUGCCCUGGUUGGAUUAUCUAGUAGGUGGGGUAACGGCUCACCUUGGCGACGAUCCCUAGCUGGUCGGAGAGGAUGACCAGCCACACUGGAACUGAGACACGGUCCAGACUCCUACGGGAGGCAGCAGUGGGGAAUAUUGCGCAAUGGGCGCAAGCCUGAUGCAGCCAUGCCGCGUGUAUGAAGAAGGCUUUCGGGUUGUAAAGUACUGUCAGCGAGGAAGCGUUACUCACAGAAGAAGCACCGGCUAACUACGUGCCAGCAGCCGCGGUAAUUC
rnacentral:rRNA from 1 species